UUACAGCAACACAACAUCCGUGGGAUAAUGAACAACUCCCUAAAAGCCUUGAACAGGGAGAAACACAGGAAGAAACCUCAGGGAGAGCACAAGGAGGAUCUCUCUCCUAAGAUACACUACGAGCUGUGAUGUUGUGUUUACACAAUUUACACAACACUGAAGAGGAUAACACAAUUAUAAUGGACUUAUAACAUAUAUGAAGAAUAUGAUGAGGAGGAUGCCAAGCAGUGUCCAGACGCCACUGGAACAGCCCAGGAAUCGAGCCACGUGACCAGCAUCACCAUGUAAAAAGAAAAAGGAAAAGAAGACCACAACACAUUUAGGCUUCACCGAGUCUGAGGCUGCACACCCUCUCUCACCCCCACAUCAUCACAUCAGAAGUCAGAUCACCUGUUCUGUCCCACCACCUAUCAGCAGAAGUAGCAGUGUCCGCUGCAGCCGGUUGCACACAUGCCUCUCCUGUGACAGAAGCAGAUUCAAACAAGAUUCCGAGUUGAAGUUUGGGAUCCACAUCCAUGCUGCUUUUCAUGGCAUGUUUGAUACCAGCCUUGUUUUACAGUCUGUUUGAAUUAAAGCUGCUUUUC